rnacentral:tRNA from 15 species
UUAGCUCAGUAGGCAGAGCGUUCGUCUCAUAAUCCAAACAUAAGCCAGCGAAAGGUCACCAGUUCGAUCCUG